rnacentral:rRNA from 1 species
UACAGAGGUCUCAAGCGUUGUUCGGAUUCAUUGGGCGUAAAGGGUGCGUAGGUGGCGUGGUAAGUCGGGUGUGAAAUUUCGGAGCUUAACUCCGAAACUGCAUUCGAUACUGCCGUGCUUGAGGACCGGAGAGGAGACUGGAAUUUACGGUGUAGCAGUGAAAUGCGUAGAGAUCGUAAGGAAGACCAGUGGCGAAGGCGGGUCUCUGGACAGUUCCUGACACUGAGGCACGAAGGCCAGGGGAGCAAACGGG